GCUGGGCAUGGUGGCGCAUGCCUGUAAUUCCAGCUACACGGGAGGCUGAGACAGGAGAAUUGCUUGAACCCGGGAGGUGGAGGUUGCAGUGAGUCGAGAUCACGCCACUGCACUCCAGCUUGGGUGAAAGGGCAAGACUCUGUCUCAA
rnacentral:SRP_RNA from 1 species